CGUAGGCAGCGAGCGUUGUUCGGAGUUUCUGGGCGUAAAGCGUGCGUAGGCGGUGUCUUAAGUUUGUUGUGAAAUCUCCCGGCUUAACCGGGAGGGUGCGGCGAAUACUGAGAUGCUGGAGUGCCGGAGAGGUAAGCGGAAUUCCUGGUGUAGCGGUGAAAUGCGUAGAUAUCAGGAGGAACACCUGCGGUGUAGACGGCUUACUGGACGGUAACUGACGCUGAGGCACGAAAGCGUGGGUAGCAAACAGG
rnacentral:rRNA from 1 species